rnacentral:lncRNA from 1 species
AGAACUGACUGCAAAAACGUCAUUGUAAGCCUGAUCUGUCUGACAGAUCAUAAGAGUCUGAAGAAAACUGCAGCAAGCCAUGAGAAUGACUUCUUGUGCAGAGACUUUAAUUUCCCAGACCUGUGCAUUUUUAAAGUGUUCAAAACCAUGUAAGAUCUUGUCCAUCUCUGCUGACCUCUAUCUGCCUUGGUCCUGACAGAAAGAACUGCCAAACCAGAAUUGUUUUAAUUGUCUGUUGAAAAAAAUUUUUACCCUGCAAUCUUAAUUCCUUUUUGAAUCUUUUUCUCUCUUUCUUUAUGUCAGUACUUAUGCCCAGUGAAGUAUGAAUAAGUAUUGGUAUAGUGAACAUGAAAUUGCUGAUACUACUAGCAAUCCAUUUAUGAAAUAAAGUAAAUUUAUAAUUUUGGACA